rnacentral:rRNA from 1 species
CCCUUAGAUGUCCUGGGCUGCACGCGCGCUACACUGAUGUGUCCAGUAAGCACCUAACCUCUUCCGAAAGGAACGGGUAACCUUUGCAAAGCACAUCGUGAUGGGGAUAGAUUAUUGCAAUUAUUAGUCUUGAACGAGGAAUUCCUAGUAAGCACAAGUCAUCAGCUUGUGUUGAUUACGUCCCUGCCCUUUGUACACACCGCCCGUCGCUCCUACCGAUUGAAUGUUCCGGUGAAUGUUUUGGAUCGGCUUCAAGUUGGUUCGCGCCUCUUGCUUGCUGUGAAAUCAUGUAAACCUUAUUGCUUAGAGGAAGGAGAAGUCGUAACA